rnacentral:rRNA from 1 species
AACGAACGCUGGCGGCGCGCCUAAUACAUGCAAGUCGAGCGAGAAGACGUAGCAAUACGUUUGUAAAGCGGCGAACGGGUGAGGAAUACAUGGGUAACCUACCCUCGAGUGGGGAAUAACUAGCCGAAAGGUUAGCUAAUACCGCGUACGCUCCUUGGACUUCGGUUCAGGGAGGAAAGCGAUACCGUGGGUAUCGCGCUCUUGGAUGGGCUCAUGUCCUAUCAGCUUGUUGGUGAGGUAACGGCUCACCAAGGCUUCGACGGGUAGCUGGUCUGAGAGGACAAUCAGCCACACUGGCACUGCGACACGGGCCAGACUCCUACGGGAGGCAGCAGUAAGGAAUAUUGCGCAAUGGGCGAAAGCCUGACGCAGCGACGCCGCGUGGGGGAGUGAAGGU